rnacentral:rRNA from 1 species
GGUUCAGGAUGAACGCUAGCUACAGGCUUAACACAUGCAAGUCGAGGGGCAGCAUGAGAGUUGCUUGCAACUUCCGAUGGCGACCGGCGCACGGGUGAGUAACGCGUAUCCAACCUGGCCCUUAGUAGGGAACAGCCCGGCGAAAGUCGGAUUAAUGCCCUAUGUUUUCCAAUGAUGGCAUCUGACUUGGAACAAAGAUUCAUCGCUAAGGGAUGGGGAUGCGUCUGAUUAGCUUGUCGGCGGGGUAACGGCCCACCGAGGCGACGAUCAGUAGGGUUCUGAGAGGAAGGUCCCCCACAUUGGUACUGAGACACGGACCAAACUCCUACGGGAGGCAGCAGUGAGGAAUAUUGGUCAAUGGGCGCGAGCCUGAACCAGCCAAGUAGCGUGCAGGAAGACUGCCCUAUGGGUUGUAAACUGCUUUUAUGCGGGAAUAAAGUCAGGUACGCGUACCUGUUUGUAUGUACCGCAUGAAUAAGGACCGGCUAAUUCCGUGCCAGCCGCCGC